UUUAGGUCAACAUCCGUUUCAAAGUUCUAAACUCUCGCAGAUAUGUGCUGAAUUCUUUCCGUGGCCUCCGGAGGAAACAGUUAUGUCUUCCGACGAAGAGGUAACAAUCCCUUUGAAAUAUUGGGUGGACGAUAACAAAAGGCGUGUAGUUGUGGCAGAAGCAAGUGGGGAGUUGGUAGAUGUUCUCUUCAGUUUCCUCACCCUUCCAUUGGGAACUAUUAUUAGGCUUGGAAACAAAUUGGAUCAACAUAUACAGCUUGGCUGCAUCAAUAAGCUGUACGACAGUGUUGAUAAACUGGAAUCUAAUGUUUUCUGGAACAACAUCUGCAAGAAAAUGUUGCAUUCUCCUCGCAACCCGUUAGAGAGCUCUUGCCAAAGACUGAAAGUGAAAGUGGAUGAUACAGAACCCACCAAGUAUUUCGUGUGUUACAGCUGUUCAAAGGAAAAGGAUUUGUUGCUGAGUACCUUUGAUGGUGCAAGGUGCCAUUGUGGAAAAUUGAUGAGAAAAGAAACGAUGUUGCUGGAAGAAUCCAAGGAAGAGCUAGCUAAGGACAAUGGUGCUUUUGUUAAAUCAGAUGCCAUGUUCUUGAUCUUGGAUGACUUGAGAGUCCUCCGAAGCUCUGUUGGUGACUCUGUUCAAACUUUUCUCAAGCAUCGACACAAAGACAUCAGCAUCCUCACAGAAAUAUCUGGAAAAGUUGGCAUCAAGGAGAUAUUGAGCAUACUAAAGCAAUCCUUAAUCUCCAAAUCUCCUCUGAGUGAUGUAUUAUUGAAAAAUGAAGAAUAUAAGAAAUACUCUUCCUCACAGUAUACCGGUCCCAUUCAUUCGAAAGGUCAUGUAAAAAUCAAAGUAAUGGUGAGCAAAUCACAGAACAAGAUUUUAUUUGCUGAAGUAGAUGGAGAUUUUGUUGACCUUCUAACCAGCUUCCUCACAACACCUAUUGGAUCUAUUGUGAGGCUUAUGAAAGGAAAAUUGUGUUUGGGAAGCAUUCGUAACUUGUACAAAAGUGUGAAGCGUCUCAAUCCAUCAUGGUUUGUAAGAUCAUCUAAUGAAUCUUUAAAGAAUAUAAAGGUUGCUCCUCAUUUUGGUUGUAAGAGGAAUCCAUUAGAAGAGGAGGAUUCUCCUGAAUAUUGGUAUGGCCCUGUAGUGGAGAAAGAGAAUGAGGGGCGUACAAUGAUUUCAAAGAGAAAAGAGUUGUUACGAGAUCCAAAAAAAGUGAAACUUUUUGACCCAAGAUCCUCUGAUGGAGCAAGAGAACCUCCUGUGGGAUUUAUGAAGAGACCAUGUCUAUUUGUUGUGAGCGAUGAUCUUGAAGUGAAACCAAUGACAAAUGCUUCUAGCAUUUCGCAUUUGAAAGAACUAGGGAUUGUGAAGGUGAAUGAUUUGGAGGAACAUUUUAUUAAAGUAAGAAAGUCACAUGAGGCAAUAGACCUUUUGAGGGUUUCUUUGACAUCCAAUGGAGCUGCUUUGACAAAAAGCUUAUUCUCUCAAAUGUGGAUAUGUCAAAGAGGCAUCCCUUGCUGGGGUGUAUUGGGAAGUCGACACCAAAUUAAAAAAGAAAUAAAAAAGGAAGAGAAAGAGGUACCAGGUAAAAAAAGGCAUGACGAAAGAGAAAAAGAUAAGAAGGAAGUGAAGUAGAAACGAAAAGGAGGGUAAAAUAUGAUCUAUCAAAAGCCUUCUUUCCUUGGUGUUUCACAAGUGAGUCACAAAAUUUAGGCAAACUGAAAAUGUAUACAAGAAGAAGAUUGAGAAAGGAGUUUGAUGGAAGCCUCCACUGGAUUCAUGCUUGGAGAAGCUUCACGUAAUCAGAAGUUGCAGCGGAUGAAUGAGACAGUGAUGAUGGAUGAAGUGUGCUCAAGGUGUUUGAUGAAGGUCCGUGAGAGAUUGGCUAUGGUGUAAUGGUGAAUUCUAACUCAGAGAGCUCUCCUAAAGGGAAAGGAGCUAGAGGAAGUGCAAGAUAACAAUGCACAAAGGUGAACUUGAGAGUAAAAGCUGAAAUUUGGCAGCAUUUCUUUACUUCAAUUCAAGUUGAAUUUACAAAGGAUUUGGCUUCUCUUUUAUAGAUGAAGAAAGCCUAUGAGUCGUGUAAUGCAAGCCAUGAACUUAUUACAAAUGUGCUGGAAAAGAAGUGUACAAUGGAAUUUUGGCAUUUUGCACGUGGAAGAUAUGGAUCAUAAGCUUCAAGAAGUUGUUGUCCACGUGGUAAACAUGGAAAAGGCGCUGCAAGGUGCUGCAAGGUAUAUUGCACGUGGAAAAGGUGUUGGCAGCUGGUGUAUCCAUGUAGGAAACAUGUUGCUAAAUGAAGUGUUGGUCGUGAACAAGUCUCCUCUUGUCUCCUUUGCUUGGCAAUUCUUCUAAGUGUUUGCCAAGCCUUAUUAAUGACCUACAAAACAAAGUAAGAUGUAUUUAGU